rnacentral:rRNA from 1 species
GAUGAACGCUGGCGGCGUGCCUAAUACAUGCAAGUCGAGCGAACGGACGAGAAGCUUGCUUCUCUGAUGUUAGCGGCGGACGGGUGAGUAACACGUGGAUAACCUACCUAUAAGACUGGGAUAACUUCGGGAAACCGGAUCUAAUACCGGAUGAUAUUUUGAACCGCAUGGUUCAAAAGUGAAAGACGGUCUUGCUGUCCCUUAUAGAUGGAUCCGCGCUGCAUUAGCUAGUUGGUAAGGUAACGGCUUACCAAGGCAACGAUGCAUAGCCGACCUGAGAGGGUGAUCGGCCACACUGGAACUGAGACACGGUCCAGACUCCUACGGGAGGCAGCAGUAGGGAAUCUUCCGCAAUGGGCGAAAGCCUGACGGAGCAACGCCGCGUGAGUGAUGAAGGUCUUCGGAUCGUAAAACUCUGUUAUUAGGGAAGAACAUAUGUGUAAGUAACUGUGCACAUCUUGACGGUACCUAAUCAGAAAGCCACGGCUAACUACGUG